rnacentral:lncRNA from 1 species
CGCAGGCAAUGCCGCCGCACUUCCAAUUUCCUCGCUCACCGCCUCUCCGACCAUCUGAGACCAUUGCUCCUCCUCCAUCAGAUAUGUAAGUAUAUGUAACCCAUAAGAAAAAUAUUCAUGUAAGUAAGAGUUUGUAGAACCCAUAAGAAUGUGUACAAUCCAAGUCCUCUACAAGAAAACCUUGAUCAAAUGACACAAAACACCCAAAAUCAG